rnacentral:rRNA from 1 species
UACGUAGGGGGCAAGCGUUGUCCGGAUUUAUUGGGCGUAAAGAGCGUGUAGGCGGCCUGGUAGGUCAGCUGUGAAAACUCGAGGCUCAACCUCGAGACGCCGGUUGAAACCAUCAGGCUAGAGUCCGGAAGAGGAGAGUGGAAUUCCCGGUGUAGCGGUGAAAUGCGCAGAUAUCAGGAGGAACACCGGUGGCGAAGGCGGAUCUCUGGGCCUUACCUGACGCUGAGGCGCGAAAGCUAGGGGAGCGAACAGG